AAGAAAACAUUGAAGACCUAUUUGGUUCUCUCCAUGGGGCUCAGUGUGCCAUGGCUGCAAACAGCAGCCUCCUUGGUAGUGUAUACAGCCUGUUGAUUGUGUGGGUUGCCCUAAGGGAUCUUGAAGACUGCC